rnacentral:rRNA from 1 species
ACUCGAGUAGCGAACGGGUGAGUAACACGUGGGUGAUCUGCCCUGCACUUCGGGAUAAGCCUGGGAAACUGGGUCUAAUACCGGAUAGGAGCCAUUUUUAGUGUGAUGGUUGGAAAGUUUUUCGGUGUAGGAUGGGCUCGCGGCCUAUCAGCUUGUUGGUGGGGUAAUGGCCUACCAAGGCGGCGACGGGUAGCCGGCCUGAGAGGGUGGACGGCCACAUUGGGACUGAGAUACGGCCCAG